rnacentral:rRNA from 1 species
UUAUUGAAACUUCGGUAGAUUUAAUUUAUUUCUAGUGGCGGACGGGUGAGUAACGCGUGGGUAACCUGCCUUAUACUGGGGGAUAACAGCCAGAAAUGGCUGCUAAUACCGCAUAAGCGCACAGGACCGCAUGGUCCGGUGUGAAAAACUCCGGUGGUAUAAGAUGGACCCGCGUUGGAUUAGCUGGUUGGCAGGGCAGCGGCCUACCAAGGCGACGAUCCAUAGCCGGCCUGAGAGGGUGAACGGCCACAUUGGGACUGAGACACGGCCCAGACUUCUACGGGAGGCAGCAGUGGGGAAUAUUGCACAAUGGGGGAAACCCUGAUGCAGCGACGCCGCGUGAAGGAAGAAGUAUCUCGGUAUGUAAACUUCUAUCAGCAGGGAAGAUAAUGACGGUACCUGACUAAGAAGCCCCGGCUAACUACGUGCCAGCAGCCGCGGUAAUACGUAGGGGGCAAGCGUUAUCCGGAUUUACUGGGUGUAAAGGGAGCGUAGACGGCGCAGCAAGUCUGAUGUGAAAGGCAGGGGCUUAACCCCUGGACUGCAUUGGAAACUGUUGAGCUUGAGUGCCGGAGGGGUAAGCGGAAUUCCUAGUGUAGCGGUGAAAUGCGUAGAUAUUAGGAGGACACCAGUGGCGAAGGCGGCUUACUGGAC